rnacentral:rRNA from 1 species
GAGGGGGAUAACACUUGGAAACAGGUGCUAAUACCGCAUAACCAUAGUUACCGCAUGGUAACUAUGUAAAAGGUGGCUAUACUACCGCUUUUGGAUGGGCCCGCGGCGCAUUAGCUAGUUGGUAGGGUAGAGGCUUACCAAGGCAAUGAUGCGUAGCCGAAUUGAGAGGUUGAUCGGCCACAUUGGGACUGAGACACGGCCCAAACUCCUACGGGAGGCAGCAGUAGGGAAUCUUCCACAAUGGGCGAAAGCCUGAUGGAGCAACGCCGCGUGGGUGAAGAAGGUCUUCGGAUUGUAAAACCCUGUUGUUAGAGAAGAAAGUGCGUGAGAGUAACUGUUCACGUUUCGACGGUAUCUAACCAGAAAGCCACGGCUAACUACGUGCCAGCAGCCGCGGUAAUACGUAGGUGGCAAGCGUUAUCCGGAUUUAUUGGGCGUAAAGGGAACGCAGGCGGUCUUUUAAGUCUGAUGUGAAAGCCUUCGGCUUAACCGGAGUAGUGCAUUGGAAACUGGGAGACUUGAGUGCAGAAGAGGAGAGUGGAACUCCAUGUGUAGCGGUGAAAUGCGUAGAUAUAUGGAAGAACACCAGUGGCGAAAGCGGCUCUCUGGUCUGUAGCUGACGCUGAGGUUCGAAAGCGUGGGUAGCAAACAGGAUUAGAUACCCUGGUAGUCCACGCCGUAAACGAUGAAUGCUAAGUGUUGGAGGGUUUCCGCCCUUCAGUGCUGCAG